GAUGAAGAACGUAGUGAAAUGCGAUAAGUAAUGUGAAUUGCAGAAUUCAGUGAAUCAUCGAAUCUUUGAACGCACAUUGCGCCCGCCAGUAUUCUGGCGGGCAUGCCUGUUCGAGCGUCAUUUCAACCAUCAAGCCCCAGGCUUGUGUUGGGGACCUGCGGCUGCCGCAGGCCCUGAAAACCAGUGGCGGGCUCGCUGUCACACCGGGCGUAGUAGAUUUUAUCUCGCUCAGGGCGUGCUGCGGGUUCCGGCCGUUAAAAAGCCUUUUUUACCCAAGGUUGACCUCGGAUCAGGUAGGAAGACCCGCUGAACUUAAACAUAUCAAUAAGCGGAGGA
rnacentral:misc_RNA from 1 species